GGCAUGGCUCAGCAAUAGAGCACCUGUCUAGCAAGCAUGAGACUCUGAGUUCAAACCCCAGUACC
rnacentral:tRNA from 1 species